UACGAACUGUGCGAACGUUAUUCGGAAUCACUGGGCUUAAAGGGUGCGUAGGCGGCUGCCUAAGUCAGGUGUGAAAUCUCCCGGCUCAACCGGGAAACUGCGCUUGAUACUGGGCGGCUCGAGUGAGGUAGGGGUGUGUGGAACUUCCGGUGGAGCGGUGAAAUGUGUAGAUAUCGGAAGGAACGCCAGCAGCGAAAGCGGCACACUGGGCCUUUUCUGACGCUGAGGCACGAAAGCCAGGGGAGCGAACAGG
rnacentral:rRNA from 1 species